GAUUAUGGCUCAGGAUGAACGCUGGCGGCGUGCUUAACACAUGCAAGUCGAACGGAGUUUUAACGGAAGUUUCGGAUGGAAGUUUAGAACUAGUGGCGGACGGGUGAGUAACGCGUGGGUAACCUGCCUCAGUACAGGGGGGAUAACAGUUAGAAAUGACUGCUAACACCGCAUAAUAUAGCGAAACCGCAUGAUUUUGCUAUCAAAUAUUUAUAGGUAUGAGAUGAGCCCGCGUCUGAUUAGCUAGUUGGUGGGGUAAAAGCCUACCAAGGCGACGAUCAGUAGCCGGCUUGAGAGAGUGACCGGCCACAUUGGGACUGAGACACGGCCCAAACUCCUACGGGAGGCAGCAGUGGGGAAUAUUGGACAAUGGGGGAAACCCUGAUCCAGCCGACGCCGCGUGAGUGAAGAAGUAUUUCGGUAUGUAAAGCUCUAUCAGCAGGGAAGAUAAUGACAGUACCUGACUAAGAAGCCCCGGCUAACUACGUGCCAGCCGCCGC
rnacentral:rRNA from 1 species